rnacentral:rRNA from 1 species
GAUCAUGGCUCAGAUUGAACGCUGGCGGCAGGCUUAACACAUGCAAGUCGAACGGUAACAUAAAGAAGCUUGCUUUUUUGAUGACGAGUGGCGGACGGGUGAGUAAUACUUGGGAAUCUAGCUUAUGGAGGGGGGAUAACUACGGGAAACUGUAGCUAAUACCGCGUAAUAUCGAAAGAUUAAAGUGUGGGACCUUCGGGCCACAUGCCAUAGGAUGAGCCCAAGUGGGAUUAGGUAGUUGGUGAGGUAAAGG